GCGGCCGUGGCGGAAUUGGUAGACGCACUGCCUUGAGGUGGCAGCGGAGCAAUCCGUGGAAGUUCGAGUCUUCUCGGCCGCACCA
rnacentral:tRNA from 1 species